rnacentral:rRNA from 1 species
GACGAACGCUGGCGGCGUGCUUAACACAUGCAAGUCGAACGGAAAGGCCCUGCUUUGUGGGGUGCUCGAGUGGCGAACGGGUGAGUAACACGUGAGUAACCUGCCCUUGACUUUGGGAUAACUUCAGGAAACUGGGGCUAAUACCGGAUAGGAGCUCCUGCUGCAUGGUGGGGGUUGGAAAGUUUCGGCGGUUGGGGAUGGACUCGCGGCUUAUCAGCUUGUUGGUGGGGUAGUGGCUUACCAAGGCUUUGACGGGUAGCCGGCCUGAGAGGGUGACCGGCCACAUUGGGACUGAGAUACGGCCCAGACUCCUACGGGAGGCAGCAGUGGGGAAUAUUGCACAAUGGGCGGAAGCCUGAUGCAGCAACGCCGCGUGCGGGAUGACGGCCUUCGGGUUGUAGACCGCUUUCGCCUGUGACGAAGCGUGAGUGACGGUAAUGGGUAAAGAAGCACCGGCUAACUACG